rnacentral:ncRNA from 1 species
UAUCAAAACUCUGGAGAGACCGGUUCAAUCCGGCGCCGAAGGUGCACGAAGCGCACGAUCCUCGUCGCGUCGCUUCCAAACUCUCAGGCAAAAGGACAGAGGGGCGCGA